GAUGAACGCUGGCGGCGUGCCUAAUACAUGCAAGUCGAGCGAACAGACGAGGAGCUUGCUCCUCUGACGUUAGCGGCGGACGGGUGAGUAACACGUGGAUAACCUACCUAUAAGACUGGGAUAACUUCGGGAAACCGGAGCUAAUACCGGAUAAUAUAUUGAACCGCAUGGUUCAAUAGUGAAAGACGGUUUUGCUGUCACUUAUAGAUGGAUCCGCGCCGCAUUAGCUAGUUGGUAAGGUAACGGCUUACCAAGGCAACGAUGCGUAGCCGACCUGAGAGGGGGACCGGCCCCACUGGAAAUGGGCAACGGGCCAGACCCCUACGGGGGGCAGCAGAAGGAAAUUUUCCGAAAGGGGCGAAAGCUUGAGGGGAGAACCCCGGGGGGUGAAAGAAGGUUUGCGGAUCGUAAAACUUUUUUAUUAGGGAAAAAAAAAUGUGUAAGUAAUAUUCCCCGUUUGAACGGGACUUAAUCAAAAAGCCGCGGCGAACUGCGU
rnacentral:rRNA from 1 species